AUCAAGACUUCGGUGACGUGAUCGUGAGAGGAUGGUGGCCCAAUGUCCACUCUGGCCGUUCGACUUGAGCUUACGACAUGCCGAGAGUGACAAUGGAGGGAACAAAACUGACUCGCCAUCCCGGCCCAGCGAAAGUGUUUGUCCAGCGAAGCUGUUGGAAAUCAAUGCUACAACUGCUGAUAAGCGCCCAUCGGAAUGCGGCUGCCGUGGUGGGAGUCGAACCGAAGACCACGAGCUCAGCAGAGCGACGCCUUGCCACCAGGCUACCGAUGUGGGGAGG